rnacentral:lncRNA from 1 species
UUCUCUGCCAGGCCACUCCGAAACCCGCCUAACAAAAUCCUCCACUAACUCACAAGCCAGCCCAAACUCAGCCCAUUUCUCCACCUUUCCCGUUUUACCCAUACAACAAACUAGUAACAACAACAUACGCACAAAGCAACAAAACAGCAGCAGCUACACAACAGCAACACGACAAAAACCAACGAAACAACGACAAUAAUAUCCACGACGCCGAUCAGCGUUCGGACCACCGGAUAUUAGGAAAUCUGGUGGUUUUUCCACCUCUCCUCCUCUCCCCCUACUCUAUUUCCGUCUCCAUCAACAUCAAUUGUCUUUCCAUCAAUUUUUGUUCAAGAAAACCAAAGCCCAAUGCUCUACAAUUUCAAGAAAAAUGGGGAAAAUCUCAAGACCCAUUGGAUUCAAGGUGUUACACCUUCGAUUCGACGGCUAUCAAAGUUUAAAUUGGUGGAUCCGAGCCUCUCUACCUCGAAUCCAUCACUUUUCUUCAAAUUGACCGAAAGAGGUGACCCCUUUCUCUCCUUUAUUUCUUUUUAUCCAUUAGUCCUGAUGACUUCUCGAAGAAUUUGCCUUCUCAAUGAAUUCAAAAUCCAAAUUUAUUUUUUGGGAACUGUUGGAAGCUUCAAGGAGCCAUUGCAAUCCAAUACUGCCUAUAAAAGGGGUUUUUUCCACCCUCUUGUAGGAGAGGGAAAAAAAAGAAAAAAAUGAGGAAGAAAAAAGGGUAAUAGAGAAAUUAGAAUUUUUUUUGUGUGUUUUUGUCAUACUCGCCGAUUCACCAAGUUUCUAUUUCCUUUUCUUUAUUUUUCUGAUUAUUGUUACUAGUUCCUGCAUCGGAAAAGGUGAAUCCUCCUCCUUCAAAAUUCUUAUUUAUGAAGCUUUGGUCAUCUAAGCAAUUUAUGUUUGAUGAAUUUUUAAACGUAUCUAUACCAUAAAUUUUGUGUUUGCGACAAAAUUGGCAUAGCUUCUUAAUUGUUUAGCAUGAAAUUUGACUCCUUUAAAUGCCUGACUUGGUAAGAAACAUGUGCUUGUUAUUGCCUAUUUUCUAUCUUGACGCAAUAGUUUUAAUACUAGGAAUUUGCAUGUUUUCAUUUGUCUUUUGGUUGCAAACUUUGAUGACCAUCACUUUUAGUCAAGGUCUGUAUAUAUAUAUUUGAGCUGACGUGGUUAUCACCUUAAUAGCGUGGGUUUAGACGUAUCCAUGGAAAAAUGGUUGAUCGUAUCCAUGGAAAAAUGGUUUAUCUUUUUUCUUUCUUCGAGCAUAGUGUAUAAAUUAGUUGAAGUUCUCUACUCCAUUUUUGUACAAAAAUGGGUAUGUUUUCUCUUCUCUAUGUGGCUACUAUUGCCUAAAAUAUAAUAAAGAGAUUUAUUACUUUAUUGUUUAAGCUUUCAGUUAUUACAAUACUCAUUUAAUCAUUUUGAUAGUUAAGUAAAUAAUAUGCCAAGAGACUGGUUGAGGUCCAUGUUGCUAUCUCUUUGUGCAAAGGACAAUAUGUGCAUUUGUUCCCAAUUUAUUUAACGUACAUAGAGCCCUUGGUUACCUUUAAAAAAGUUGAAAAAACAUAAAAUGACGAAAAAUAUCCUUUUUAAGGGAUAAAUCCUUGUUCAAACUGCUUUGUGUUCAUUUGAUCAUAUAUUGACUUUUGGUCUAUGAACUUCUUGGGUAAUCCCUUUCAUAUUUGGGUGUGUGACUUGAUCUCUAGUUGGUAACUACAGAGCAUUUUCGUUUAUGUGUCAAAACUAUGUUUUGUGUGAACUUAUACUACUAUUUAUCUCUUCUUUUCUAUGCAUGAAAUCCCUCCUUGAGUCCAUCGGACUCCCAUAUCUUGCAUUCGAUUGAGUUAAACUCAACGUCCAUCGAGUCAAGACCCAUGUCAAGUCCGAAAAGGGACUAAUAUGCAAGAAAAAUAGGCUGGUAUACAAUCAUAUACUCUGAUAUAUGGUGAAUAUCCGUCUUAAGCAGCAGGUGCAUGCUAUCCCGCGGUUUAUGAUGAAAAAGUGGAGCAAAAUACGUAGGCAUCCACACUGAUAUACACUGUAUACACAGGGGUAUACAGAAAAAUACAGGAAAGAAGCUGCUGAUAUACCACAGAUAUACAGGGGAAAAAAAUAGGCUAAAGUCCAUGGAAUUGGUCCAAAAUUGGACAGAUUUUUAAUGUGUCAAAAGGGGCCCAAUUUUCACUCUUCUCUAUUUAAUUAUCCAUUCUAACUUAUUUAUUUGUAAUAGUUUAGGAUACGUGCAUUGCACGUGACACAAAUUUAUAAAAUAAACUUUAUUGAAAAAUCAACCAUCUAAUAAUUUGAUCUGAUUGGAGUUAUUUAAUUAUAUGGUAUUAUUGACUUAUUUUUUGUUUGAUACCAUCACACAUUGUUAUCAAAUUAUGUGUGGGACUUCUAACCAAUAAGGAUACUUUAUGCCAUUGAGUCAAUUUGUUAUGGUCAUUUUACUUGGGGCUUUGGGCUGUCGGUGACAAAAGAGUUUUAAAAUGAUGUGUAAGUGACUAAUGUCUUAAUAAUUAAGUGGAGGUGACAAUUACUUUAUUAUGGAUUAAGAAAGUUGGGUAUGUUUGAGAAUAACCCAGAAGUUUUUAAAUUUACACUUUGAUUCAAAUGUUUACCUAGUAUAACGAGAAACGGAGGGAAAAAGGCGUCUUUCUCUCUGUUCUCAUUCAUUGUUGUUUUCUCUCUCUUAGCGAUUUUUGUUGUUUAUUGUUGUUGUUGCUUUAUUCAUCAUCUUUUGCUUCAUUAUCAUCUUCUACUUUAUUAUGAUCUCUAUUUUUUUCUUGUUGAUCAUUGUUGUUGUUGCUUUACUGCUAUUGUUGCCAUUUGACCAAUUUCUUAGGUCAAAUUUUGUUUCCUACAUCACUUUCCACUUUGGUAUUACUUCAUAGGAGACUUUAGUAAGUCAAAGUAUGAUUUUUAGUUGAAUUUGUCAUUUGGGUAAAUGCUAUUGUGUUGUUUCUUCAACGAUAGAUAGCACGCAAACAUGAAUGCAACAUAAUAGCCAUCUGUUUAAAUAGAUCUGUUUCAACAGAAGACUCAUAUGUUGGAUUCAUAUUUAUGGUUCCAUAGUUUCGUUACAUAAAUCAAACAGAUGAGUCGUCUGUUACAAUAGAUGACCCAUUUGUUGCAAUAAAUUAGUUAUCUGGUGCAACAUGAUAAAUAUUUGUUGCAACAAAUUAAUAACCUCUUGCAAUAGAACCUGAACUUGAUUCCAACAGACGUGUUGUCUGUUGCAACAGGGUAAAUAUCUGUUGCAACAAAUUAUUAACCCGUUGCAACAGAACCUGAACUCAAUUCCAACAGACAAUAAAUAUGUGUUGCAAUAUAUUAGUAACCUGUUGCGAUAGAACCUGACCUCGAUUCCAAUAAAUCGUCGUCUGUUGCAACAGGUAAAUCAUCUGUCGCAAUAGGUUGAUUAUCUGAUGCAACAUGUCACUUAUUUGUUGGAAUCUGCUUCAAAGGUGCCUCAAUACUGUAACAUCUGUCCAACAAGCACUUUAUCUGUUGCAACAGAUAUAUAGUCUGUUGCAACACAUGAUUCACUUGUUACAACAGAUGACUCGUCUGUUGAAAUCAACUUUAGGAGCGUAACAUGAAUCCCAAUAGGUACUAAUCUGUUGCUAUUGAUUACACAUCUGUUGGGAUUCAUUUAUGGCACUAUGAAAUCACUAUUAACUUUUUUUAAAAAAUGACUUUAUUUAGGUACUACUAAUGGAGGGAUCAAUAACAAUAGGGGUGGAUUGUCAUGGUCAAUGGAUCGAGAAGAGCAAUUGAUAUAUAUGUCAUAGGAAAGAGAGUGAAAUGCUAGAGACGAUAGCUAUGACAGUCCAAAGUUGUGUUUCGUAUGAUGAUUUUGUGAACUUAAUCAUCAGCUAUUGUGGACUGAAUUAUCAAUCGAAAGAACUCGUCAUCAGUUACAUGCACAACUCCUUAGAAAAUCAAAGGAUACUGCCUUUCAAGAUAACCGAUCAGAUUCGGUUGCGUGCUUAUCUUAGUUAUUCAUUCAGGCCGGUGUUAAGGGUGUACAUGGUUGAAAAAACAAGAGAGAAUGAGAACCAGAACAUAGAAUUCUUAAACUAAUGGAAAAAAGUAUUGAUUGCCAUUAAUUUUGAUGACUUGUAACAAGGAAAUGUUUAUCCUAAAUAUAUUUAAUUAAUUUUCAACUCUUAAAUUAGGAAUAAAUAUUGAAAUUCUGAUGAUUUCUAAUAAGGAAAGGUUUUUACAAUAAAUAUAUUUAAUUAAUUUUCAACUCUUAAAUAUUAGGAAAAAUAGUGAAAAUAUGAUUUUGUCUAAAGUAAAGAGUUUUAAUGAAGAGUAAGAAGUUCAAACAAUAUUUCUAAGAUCCUUCACACUUUUAAUAUAUUAUAGAUAUAGAUUUGCUUGAAUACUUUUUUAUGUUAAUUUUUUUGAAAACAAGUCUUUUACAUUAGGAUAACUUUUUUUUUGUCAUGUAAUAAUUAGUCUCAUUUAGGUUAAAAAGAGUUUUCUCAAGCAUAAAAAGAAAGAGAUUUUCUUUAAUUGAAAAGUUUAAACUCUCCCAUAAUCGAUUAAAUGUUCCUUAAUAUCUUUUUUUUUUAAAAAAUCUAUCAUUGUUAAAAUCAAGAUUUUAAAUUGACAUUGACCAUAAAAAUAGAUUUUCCUUAAAAAAUAAUAAUUUUCCUUAAAACAAAAUAAAUUAUUAUUUUCAUUAAAAUUAAUUGGUAAAAUAUGGGCUUUUGUUUAAAAUUUUCUUUAGCUUAAAAAUUUGUCGAGAUAAAAUGAUUUUCAAAAUCGCUCGACACAAGUUUGAUAAAUAAAUAAAUCAUAAAGUUAGCCACCCAUUUAAGUUAGUCAAAAUAUUUUGGUCAACCGUUUUAAAACGGACGUUCUUAAAUGCCUUAAAACCCUUUUUAGGACGUUAAUUGAACCCUUACCUAUUUUCUCUAAUCUUAAAAGAUUUAUUUAUAUUUUUAAACCUUUGGAAUUCAUUUAAGCUUUCUUGAUUUUUCUAUAAAAAUUAAGUGGUAACUGUGUAAUUUUUCUUAAGUUGUUUCGUCAUUUUUCUAAGUUUUUGAAAUAAUUUAAGAAGUCAAAAACUAUUUUUCUUUAAAUAAUUUAUCCCCCCUUGAUAAAUUCGAAAAGGGAUAAAACACACUAUUAAGAAAGGAAGGAAAUCAGCUAAAAAGGUUUUAAUGAUACGAAGGGAUUUUCUUAAAAAGUAAAACUUUCUUCCAAUAAAUGUUUGGUGAAGCUAUUUGUUAAUUGUAAUUCAGUACUAACAAAAGUUAUAUCAAUAUCACUUUUUGAAACGUGAUCUCUUAUAAAAUGAUGCUUAAUAUCAAUAUGUUUUUUCCCUAGAGUGAAGCACAUGAUUUGUAGAUAAACAAAUGGCACUAGAAUUGUCAGACAAAAUUUUCAUAGAUUUAACAGAAAUAUCAUAAUCACUGAGUUGAUAAGUUAUCCAAAGAAUUUAUGCAGAACAUAAACCAAUAAAGAUAUAUUCUCAGACUCAGUAGUGGAGAUAGAAACAGAGUUUUAUUUUUUACUUUUCUAUGUUAUGAGAGAAUUUCCUGUAAGCUUACAUGAGCCACUAGUGCUUUUUCUAUUAUCCUUGUCUCCUGCAUAAUCUGCAUCUGAAAAAUCUUUUAGCUCAAAAUUAUUUAAUUUGGAAUACCAAAUUCCAAGGGAUAUGGUUUCAAUCAAAUAUCUAAUAAUUUUUUUAACAGCACUCAGAUGAGACUCCUUGGAGCCGACUGGAAUGUAGCAUACUUACAAACGCUAAAUAAGAUAUCUGGUCGACUGGAUGUAAGGUAAGAGAGAGCCAAUCAUGUCACGAUAUUUAGUUUCUUCAACAUUCUUACCAUCAUUAUCAGAUACAAACGUACAAGUGGAGCUCAUAGGAGUACUUGUGAAUUUAACAUCCUUCAUACCAAAUUUCUCAAUGAGUUCUUUGCUUUACUUUGACAAAUAAAAAUUUAUUCAGUUGAAUGUUGUAUUUGCAGUUCCAAGAAGAAUAUUAAUUCUCCAAUCAUGCUCAUUUCAAAUUCACUUUGUAUUAGUUUAGAAAAUUCCUUGCAUAAGAC